rnacentral:rRNA from 1 species
UACAGAGGGUGCAAGCGUUGUUCGGAAUUAUUGGGCGUAAAGCGCGUGUAGGCGGCCUGGCAAGUUGGGUGUGAAAGCCCUCGGCUUAACCGAGGAAGUGCGCCCAAAACUACGAGGCUUGAGUACCGGAGAGGGUGGCGGAAUUCCCGGUGUAGCGGUGAAAUGCGCAGAUAUCAGGAAGAACACCGAUGGCGAAGGCAGCUCUCUGGGACGGUACUGACGCUGAGACGCGAAAGCGUGGGGAGCGAACAGG